UCAAAUCUUCAAUUCAAAUUUUAUAUUCGUUCGAAAAACUCCCCCUUGUUCUUUUCUUCUUGAUUUAUAGCAGUUUCUAAGCCUCACUCAGUUUCUUUUUUACCCCUAAACCUCUUCAGACUGAGAGAAAGGUUGCUUCUGUAUUUCCUGAGAGGAAGGCUGUGAAUAUGAUCACCCCAUGCUCAUUUCAUUCAUGCCUUCCCUGGCAGAGGCUAAUAUGAUAAGAUUAGCAAAAAGAAAGUGUAGAGUGUAGACUUCUAUAGAGGUGCUCUGUAAGUCAUAUCCAUCUGAGUUUUUCUCUUGUGUUUUCACUACUGUCGUUCUUUGCGGUUUGAAGACAAACCCGAUUAUUCCUAUUUGAAGAGGCUUUUCCGAGACUUGUUUAUAAGAGAAGAUUAAUAGAGUAGAAUAUACGCAUUCAAGAGGUUUUCUUCACCGUGAUAUAAAGCCGGGCAACUUCUUGAUGGGCCUAGGACGCAACGCAAAUCAGAGAAAACAAAAACCUCACAGGCACUGCUUGUUAUGCAAGUGUUAACACUCACCUUGGAAUUGAGCAAAGAGAUGAUUUGGAAUCCCUUGGUUAUGUGCUUAUGUAUUUCCUGAGAGGAAGCCUUCCCUGGCAGGGGCUAAAAGCUAGCAAUUAGCGAAAAGAAAGUGUCGACUUCUAUAGAGGUCACAAAUUAAAGCCCGCAAUAAAUGCACACAGAACUUCUCAUGAAGUUCAACUAAUUCAAUGGGGGAUCUUUGCCUGGAUCAAAAAGCUACCAGAUAACUGUACUGGAGUUCAAGGGUUUUUGGUGUUUCAUGCUUGGAUCACUGCUUCUUGAAAUGCUUUCAGUGGAUUAUGAGCAUAUAGAUGUUGCAGCUCUCCUUGGUAAUGAAGCUAUCUAUGAUAUUUGUCGAAGAUCUCUCGAUAUUGAGAGGCCUGCUUACACUAACCUCGACAGGCUGGUCUCUCAGACUUGUAAAGUUUGUCAGCAAAACAAGGAGAAACACUCGAGUCUUGCGGGCUUGCUGCAAUUUCUAAAUCAGCUCAAGAGCAUAGAGGGGCAAAUUCGGAUAAGGGAAAAGAGAAAGUAAUCGAAUAGCCGUUGUAAUCAUUCGGCAACCUUCAAGAUCGUUGACUCUUACUAUUAGCUCGGGGAUCACAAGACUUCGUCACACUAUCUACUAUUGCAGUAAUCAUGUGAUUUGGACUUAGCUUAUGGCAUGUAUAGGAUAGACUAUAUAAGUAGAAUGAUAUUUUGACUAUUGUAUAUAAGCCAUGCGAAUAUGGCAUCUUAUGGAAGUUUACUUUUAUAAGUUUUAAAUUUGAUCUUUGUUUGUGUCUAUUAGUUAUAUAAAUAAAUGAUCUUUUAUUUAAGAAA